rnacentral:rRNA from 1 species
AUGAACGCUAGCUACAGGCUUAACACAUGCAAGUCGAGGGGCAGCAUGGUCUUAGCUUGCUAAGGCCGAUGGCGACCGGCGCACGGGUGAGUAACACGUAUCCAACCUGCCGUCUACUCUUGGACAGCCUUCUGAAAGGAAGAUUAAUACAAGAUGGCAUCAUGAGUCCGCAUGUUCACAUGAUUAAAGGUAUUCCGGUAGACGAUGGGGAUGCGUUCCAUUAGAUAGUAGGCGGGGUAACGGCCCACCUAGUCUUCGAUGGAUAGGGGUUCUGAGAGGAAGGUCCCCCACAUUGGAACUGAGACACGGUCCAAACUCCUACGGGAGGCAGCAGUGAGGAAUAUUGGUCAAUGGGCGAGAGCCUGAACCAGCCAAGUAGCGUGAAGGAUGACUGCCCUAUGGGUUGUAAACUUCUUUUAUAAAGGAAUAAAGUCGGGUAUGGAUACCCGUUUGCAUGUACUUUAUGAAUAAGGAUCGGCUAACUCCGUGCCAGCAGCCGCGGUAAUACGGAGGAUCCGAGCGUUAUCCGGAUUUAUUGGGUUUAAAGGGAGCGUAGAUGGAUGUUUAAGUCAGUUGUGAAAGUUUGCGGCUCAACCGUAAAAUUGCAGUUGAUACUGGAUAUCUUGAGUGCAGUUGAGGCAGGCGGAAUUCGUGGUGUAGCGGUGAAAUGCUUAGAUAUCACGAAGAACUCCGAUUGCGAAGGCAGCCUGCUAAGCUGCAACUGACAUUGAGGCUCGAAAGUGUGGGUAUCAAACAGGAUUAGAUACCCUGGUAGUCCACACGGUAAACGAUGAAUACUCGCUGUUUGCGAUAUACUGCAAGCGGCCAAGCGAAAGCGUUAAGUAUUCCACCUGGGGAGUACGCCGGCAACGGUGAAACUCAAAGGAAUUGACGGGGGCCCGCACAAGCGGAGGAACAUGUGGUUUAAUUCGAUGAUACGCGAGGAACCUUACCCGGGCUUAAAUUGCAGUGGAAUGAUGUGGAAACAUGUCGGUGAGCAAUCACCGCUGUGAAGGUGCUGCAUGGUUGUCGUCAGCUCGUGCCGUGAGGUGUCGGCUUAAGUGCCAUAACGAGCGCAACCCUUGUUGUCAGUUACUAACAGGUUCCGCUGAGGACUCUGACAAGACUGCCAUCGUAAGAUGUGAGGAAGGUGGGGAUGACGUCAAAUCAGCACGGCCCUUACGUCCGGGGCUACACACGUGUUACAAUGGGGGGUACAGAGGGCCGCUACCACGCGAGUGGAUGCCAAUCCCCAAAACCUCUCUCAGUUCGGACUGGAGUCUGCAACCCGACUCCACGAAGCUGGAUUCGCUAGUAAUCGCGCAUCAGCCAUGGCGCGGUGAAUACGUUCCCGGGCCUUGUACACACCGCCCGUCAAGCCAUGGGAGCCGGGGGUACCUGAAGUGCGUAACCGCGAGGAGCGCCCUAGGGUAAAACUGGUGACUGGGGCU